rnacentral:lncRNA from 13 species
GAGAAAGCCCAGUGACCGUGGAACUUUGCAUUGGAACUCAGUGUCACAGUGGAAAGCAAGACAGGGAAGAUUCCGCUAGUGUCCGUUGAAGGAACAUUUAAACUGGUCUUAGUCAGAGGGGAAUCAUCCAUCUCAGCAGUCAGAAACUAAGUUCCAGCUAGCCUCACCACCAUCACUUAAAGUGCCCUGGGGUCCAAUUUAGUUUAUUUAAACCUCAAAAUAGGACCCCAGAGCACUUUAAGCCAGAGGGCUGCAAUUACUGGACAAGUCCUGCUGCUGUGCUGGGCUCCAAGCUGGUGGUCUUGUGGUGGACACAACCCAGUGAAAUACUAGCUGGAGCGGCCAAGGGAGUGCUUGCGUCCAACUCCAGGCAGUACAUCUGGCAGCUCUGGGGAAAGAAGGUAGAGUGAAGAAGACUUGGUGUUGCAGCUUGGAUACCAGCUCAGCCACAGUAAGGGAUACAAACCUUGGAAGGCUUUACACAAGCAAAGGGCAGGUGAUCUAAGAGAAUCAUUGUUUUAAUUGAGAAAGAGACAUUUUCGACAAAGUUAUUAACAGCCAUGCUGCUUGAAUUCUGCUGAGAAACAAGAGAGAAGGAAAAUCCUGAAUAUCAAGAUGGUGAAAAACAUUCAUUCUCCAGAAAAAAAUUCAGGGACAUUUCAGAAAACUCAGAGACAUAAUUUCCUUUGGGUUCAAUGUUAUCGAAGUUCUAUUCAUACUACAAAGCACCCAACAAAGAAAAGAAACAUCAUGAGAUUACACAGCCUGAUUUAUAAAAGAAUUUGGGGCAAGCUUCAGAUUUUGAAUGAUCAACCCUGAGGUGCUUGGGCUGUACUCUAAAUAAUACCCUUCACCCAAAAAUAUAUGAGUCGUUUUUGGCCUGUCAAGCUUCAAACAUGUGAG